ensembl:lncRNA
GGAGAGAGAGAGAGGUUGAGAGAGAGAGAGGUUGAGAGAGAGAGAGAUGGGGAGAGAGAGGUUGAGAGAAAGAUGGGGUUGAGAGAGAGAGGUUGAGAGAGAGAGAUUGAGAGAGAGAGAGAGAGAGAGAGAGAGAGAGAUUGAGAGAGAGGGAGAGAGAGGUUGAGAGAAAGGUUGAGAGAGAGAGGUUGAGAGAGAGAGAGGUUGAGAGAGAGAGAGAGAGGUUGAGAGAGAGAGAUUGAGAGAGAGAGGUUGAGAGAGAGAG